GUAGGGAAUAUUGGGCAAUGGAUGCAAGUCUGACCCAGCCAUCCCGCGUGCCGGAAGAAGGCCCUCAGGGUUGUAAACGGCUUUUGACGGUGAAGAAUCGACAGGAUGCGUCCUGUUUUGACGGUAGCCGUUGAAUAAGCACCGGCUAACUCCGUGCCAGCAGCCGCGGUAAUACGGCGGGUGCGAGCGUUGUCCGGAUUUAUUGGGUUUAAAGGGUGCGUAGGAUGGAAGGUCAGUCAGCGGUGAAAAGCUAUCGCUUAACGAUAGUCUUGCCGCAGAUACUUCCUUUCGUGGAUGAGGAGGAGGCCACGGGAACGGAUGGUGUAGCGGUGAAAUGCAUAGAUAUCAUCCAGAACACCGAUUGCGAAGGCAGGUGGCUGUACCUUAAUCGACGCUGAUGCACGAAAGCAUGGGGAGCAAACAGGAUUAGAUACCCUUGUAGUCC
rnacentral:rRNA from 1 species